CUGAGUUAGGGUCUUCUAGGCCCGACCUCCAACCCUUUGCCUACCUUACCUCUUGUUGCUUCGGCUGGCCCGUCCCCCCUAGAAAUAGGGGUCGACCGCCGGAGGGUUUACACCCUCUGGCCCGCGCCCGCCGAUGGCCCUCAACCAAAACUCUUGUUCAAUCGUGAAUUGUCUGAGUACAAAAAACAAAAUAAACCAA
rnacentral:misc_RNA from 1 species